GUUUUCUCAAAAUAGCAACGUGAUAAAAAGUUGAUAAUUCUCAGCGUACCAAACACAUUGAGCCUAUGAACUCGGUCGGACUUGAAGCGAUAAGAGCAGGCUCGUGAGCCAUCGCGAUUGGUCGAGCGGCUAAUUCUGCAUGGAGCAUCACGCAGAGACCGCGUGGCGCGGUGUGGACUGCGCGUGAGCAUCGCGGGGCACAGACAAUGUAAUAACAGAAAAGCAACAACACUCAGAAGGGUGGUAGAAUUUUUUUGGAACGAAGUUCCUUAUGGGACCAUGCGGAGCGGUACUGUUAUAAUAUCCGAUUACAACAUGGUCAAUAUAAAGUAAACUGCUGACCUAGCCUCAGUUGUUUACUUCGUUUCUAAGUAAUGACGCAAAUCAAAAGUUUCGUCAGCAUUCCCGUUACCACAGAAAGGCAGAUCGAUUUGAAACCUCGUUGUGGACACUUAUCUAUAACGUGACAAACUUGUACUUUCUUAUAAUAAAAUUACUUUUUUCCAGUUUCUGUAAAAAAGUGUUUUUUUUUAAAGUCUCCAUCAUCCCACCCCGUAACAGUAGAUAUCCUGACCGGGAAAAAACGUCCGUAACGUAAGAUUUUUAUUAUUUAUCUAUAGUCUUAGUGUAAUGGCUAUACGGUGUCUACGUGAUGACGGUUAUUAUAAUUAUUCAUAUAAAUAGCUGUUUCUUUGUAUUUUAUUAUUAUAUCUUUUUUUUAUAAAUCGUUGUGAAUAAAAUAAAGUUGAUAACUUAGUAAA